rnacentral:miRNA from 7 species
AAAGGUGGCCAUGGGUGAAUGA